AUUACUUUGUCUUCUUGGGCUUCCAUUUCUGCAACUUAAACCAGAGCUAAAUGGAAAAAAAAAAAAAAAAGGAAUCUCUGAAGCCCUUUUCCAGAUCUAUGAUUUUAUAAAGAUCACUGAAAACUGAUGGAUGAGUUUGGGAAAUAUAAGUAUAAUCAACUAGAGGGAAAUUGGAAUAAGGAAUAAAAAAGAUAGCAUAGUAUAUUUCUCAAUAAUAUGGGGAGAAGUGGAAUAAGGGAAUCAGACGGGCGAAUGUGAACAUGGAUGGAGUUUGCAGAGGGACAACCAACUGGAAGGGAGAAGUACUUUCUUAAAGAUAUUGUUCCACGACUUCAGCCAUUCACGUUAGAAUCUGGAAUUCCAGGAUUACCCUAAGAGCAUUUGUUAAUCAAGCCUCAUGUGUCAAGAAUCAUGAUGGAUACCAGAAGUAGAAUCCUGAACAAGACCCGUGUCAUAUUAACUAUUAUGCUACUGAGACUCGAGUGUGAGACCGAAUAGAAUCAGUGAGCGCAGCUGAGAGUAAUAAAUGAAAAAGGCAAUACCGACAUCUUCCCUCGCCUAAGUCUGUGUGCGAAGCACGGUGCUUGGAGAGUUCUGGAUACCCGGAAAGAAAAGAAUGACGCAUGGGUAUCCUAAUCCCUGGAAGCCUGCAAAUAUGCCACCUUCCAUGGCAAAGGGACUUCACAGAUGUGAUCAUAUUGAGGGUCCUAAGAUGGAAAGAUGAUCCUGGAUCAAUCUGAGUGAGUCCACUGUAAUCAAAAGGGUCCUUAUAGAAGGAAGGAAGGUCAGAGUAUAAGAAGAUAUGACAAAAGAAACAGAGUAU